rnacentral:rRNA from 1 species
GACGAACGCUGGCGGCGUGCUUAACACAUGCAAGUCGAACGGAAAGGCCCUGCUUUUGUGGGGUGCUCGAGUGGCGAACGGGUGAGUAACACGUGAGUAACCUGCCCUUGACUUUGGGGUAACUUCAGGAAACUGGGGCUAAUACCGGAUAGGAGCUCCUGCUGCAUGGUGGGGGUUGGAAAGUUUCGGCGGUUGGGGAUGGACUCGCGGCUUAUCAGCUUGUUGGUGGGGUAGUGGCUUACCAAGGCUUUGACGGGUAGCCGGCCUGAGAGGGUGACCGGCCACAUUGGGACUGAGAUACGGCCCAGACUCCUACGGGAGGCAGCAGUGGGGAAUAUUGCACAAUGGGCGGAAGCCUGAUGCAGCAACGCCGCGUGCGGGAUGACGGCCUUCGGGUUGUAAACCGCUUUCGCCUGUGACGAAGCGUGAGUGACGGUAAUGGGUAAAGAAGCAACGGCUAACUACGUG